rnacentral:misc_RNA from 1 species
UUUCCGUAGGUGAACCUGCGGAAGGAUCAUUAAUAAAUGGUCUACGUUUUUUAAGUAGACGCUUAAUAAUCCUACCCUUUGUGAAUUUGUUUGUUUGAAAUAAUUUUUUUUAAAAUUAUUGAAUGUCUUUCCCUGUUGAAUUGGUUGUCUUUAAUGGCAAGUGAUUCGCAGGGGAGUGUCAAUAAUUUUUAAAAAGACCUUUUUUUAAAUUAAACUUUUUGUAUUCAUUUGUCUAAAAUUAUUUUUAUAAUAUAAAAACAACUUUGACAAUGGAUCUCUUGGUUCUCGCAACGAUGAAGAACGCAGCAAAAUGCGAUAAGUAGUGUGAAUUGCAGAAUACGUGAAUCAUCGAAUCUUCGAACGCAUAUUGCACUUUUUUAGUUUACUAAAAAGUAUGUCUGUUUGAGUAUCAGUAAAAUAUUCUCAUAAAAAACAUUGUUUUUUUUAUGGUUAUGAGUGUUUUACAACGAUACAAGUUGUUUCACUUUAAAUUUUUUUAAAAUUUGAAUUUUUCUAAUUUUAAAAUAAAAUUGGAUAAAAUUUUCCCGUAAAAAAGGAAUAACCUAAACAAUUUUAGUUUUUUGAUUAGAAUUUUUCAUUAUAAAGGAAAAUUUAAUAAAUAACUUGAUCUCAAAUCAGAUAAGAGUACCCGCUGAACUUAAGCAUAUCAAUAAGCGGAGGAAAAGAAACUAACAAGGAUUCCCUUAGUAACGGCGAGUGAAGCGGGAAGAGCUCAAAUUUGAAAUCUUCAAGGUUUUACCUUGACGAAUUGUAGUUUAAAGAAGUGUUUUCUGUUGAAGUUUUGGUAAAAGUUCUUUGGAAUAGGACAUCAUAGAGGGUGAGAAUCCUGUAUUUGACCAUUAUUUUCAGCUGUGUGAUACACUUUCAAAGAGUCGGAUUGUUUGGGAAUGCAGUCCAAAAUGGGUGGUAAAUUUCAUCUAAAGCUAAAUAUUGGCGAGAGACCGAUAGCGAACAAGUACCGUGAGGGAAAGAUGAAAAGAACUUUGAAAAGAGAGUUAAACAGUACGUGAAAUUGUCAAAAGGGAAGCGUUUGACACCAGUGUUGUUUUCUCGAAAAUCAAUUAAAAAAAGUUGGAUUUUGUGUUGUAUUGACCUUAACAGCUUGCUUCACUCUUUUCCUGCUUUUUUUAAUGUACUUUUCGUUUAACAAGUCAACAUCAGUUUCUUUUGUUGUAAAAGGGUCAUUGGAAGGUGGCUUUCUCUUCGGAGAAAGUGUUUAUAGCCUUUGAUCUCUGCAAUCGGAGAGACUGAGGUCUGCAGCGUAGAUCCUUCGGGGUUAGAUACAUUUGUGCUAAGCUACAGCUUUUCAUAGACAACUUGUUGACUAUGUUUAGUCUUGUGACUUACCCGCUUAUGCUAUUUUACCUACGCUUAGGAUGUUG